AAAACGGUAUUUUGUUUACAUUGUUUACAUCCAAUAUUUCUACGGAGCUGAAGUGAGACGACUAUAUGGAUUUUAGUUUCUGGAUUAUAGAAGUGUUAAUUUAGUUCAUUAUCAUGAUAACUUAGUGGGUUGUAAACAGAAAAUGUGUCAUAUGCAAGCCAAAUGAAUCAACUUAAAUGAGGAUGGACACUAAAAUCUACCAUGUCUACACAAAAAUUAAAAUAUUCAUACCAGACAGAUCAGAGACAAUGCUUGAAAUAUUUAAAUUUUGCAAAAGAAGAGGGUGAAAGUGCAAUUGCAAAAAAAAACCAGACCAACAAAUGCAACAAAUUAAAACUAUAGUUGACAAGGGAUGAUUUUCUUUAGCAGAAUUUCUUUCAUCCUUGAAGAUAAACAGCUAUGUUAGCCACUUUGUUCCACAGAAAAGAAGAGCUGGCUUUCAACUAAAACUGAAAAUCUUAUCAAAUAGAAUUCAAAAUUAUAUAUAAUUUUAUAUAGGGAUAUUUGGGUUAAAUACAAUGGUACAAACAAGUAUUUUCUGAACUAUUUCAAAGCAAAUGUGUGCCUGACUUAUACUCUGUCUAUUUUUGAAAAUAAGAUGUGUUCAUUUGUCAAUGCUGAUGCAUAAUGAUUUAUUACCACCUGAUCAUUUGAGUUGUUGAAUUAUUUUCAGUGAAAAUUAUUACAAUUAAUGAUGGUAAAAAUUAAAGUUGAUAUUCAUAAG
rnacentral:sRNA from 1 species